rfam:Equus caballus chromosome 20, whole genome shotgun sequence.
GACGAGGUGGCCGAGUGGUUAAGGCGAUGGACUGCUAAUCCAUUGUGCUCUGCACGCGUGGGUUCAAAUCCCACCUUCGUCG